rnacentral:tRNA from 2 species
GCCUUGGUGGUGGAAUGGUAGACGCAGCGGAUUCAAAAUCCGCCGUCCGCAAGGAUGUGCGAGUUCGAGUCUCGCCCGAGGCACCA